rnacentral:rRNA from 1 species
AGAGUUUGAUCAUGGCUCAGAGUGAACGCUGGCGGUAGGCCUAACACAUGCAAGUCGAACGGCAGCACAAGAGAGCUUGCUCUCUGGGUGGCGAGUGGCGGACGGGUGAGGAAUGCAUCGGAAUCUACUCUUUCGUGGGGGAUAACGUAGGGAAACUUACGCUAAUACCGCAUACGACCUACGGGUGAAAGCCGGGGACCUUCGGGCCUGGCGCGAAUGAAUGAGCCGAUGCCCGAUUAGCUAGUUGGCGGGGUAAGAGCCCACCAAGGCGACGAUCGGUAGCUGGUCUGAGAGGAUGAUCAGCCACACUGGAACUGAGACACGGUCCAGACUCCUACGGGAGGCAGCAGUGGGGAAUAUUGGACAAUGGGCGCAAGCCUGAUCCAGCCAUACCGCGUGGGUGAAGAAGGCCUUCGGGUUGUAAAGCCCUUUUGUUGGGAAAGAAAAGCAGCCGAUUAAUACCCGGUUGUUCUGACGGUACCCAAAGAAUAAGCACCGGCUAACUUCGUGCCAGCAGCCGCGGUAAUACGAAGGGUGCAAGCGUUACUCGGAAUUACUGGGCGUAAAGCGUGCGUAGGUGGUUGUUUAAGUCUGUCGUGAAAGCCCUGGGCUCAACCUGGGAAUUGCGAUGGAAACUGGGCGACUAGAGUGUGGCAGAGGAUAGUGGAAUUCCUGGUGUAGCAGUGAAAUGCGUAGAGAUCAGGAGGAACAUCCGUGGCGAAGGCGACUGUCUGGGCCAACA